GCGCUGUUUUGCGCUAUGACAAUAAAUGGUUUUUCGUAAUAGGUAUCUUGGACCCGAAGGCGGAGUUCGGCACCUCCACCA
rnacentral:tmRNA from 1 species